UCUCUAGAUUACAGGUCCAUAGUGGAUCCUAAAUGGGAAGAAUGCUGAAGACAUUUAUUGGAGUUUUAUUCAUUUUCUUGUGGCUGCAGCUGGACUGGGUCAUCCGAGGAGAAAAAGUGGAUCAGCAUCCUUCUACCCUGAGUGUCCAGGAGGGAAACAGUCCUGUUAUCUUCUGUACUUAUUCAGACAGUUUGUCAAACUACUUCCCUUGGUAUAAGCAAGAAGCUGGAAAAGGUCCUCAGCUCAUUAUAGAUAUUCGUUCAAAUAAGAACGAAAACAAAGAUGGAAGAUUCACUGUUUCACUGAAGAAAGCGGACAAAAAUCUCUCCCUGAGCAUCGAAGCCACUCUGCCUGGAGACUCAGCUGUCUACUUCUGGCAGCGAGCCCACAGUGCUUCCCAGGCACCUGCAAGCUGUGCACAAACCUGCCAGUGGAGCAGCGCCCCCUUCUUUGAAGGGAUAGAACUUCAAGCACGGCAUUUAUCAGAUAGUGUUUGUCUGCAAAUGGAAAUGAAGGUGUUGUCUGUUAAACACACGUAAGAAAAAGGUUAGAUUCAAGAUGACCCAGAUAGGGUCAUUUGUUGGAUGAGAACAGUGAACAUUUUGUCUAAUGACUAUUGUUUAGUGGAUUCUUGAAAGUAGUUAGUGAUGUUUUAUUUGGAAAUUUAGACUUUAAAGAUGAUUUGACAUUUAUUAUUCAGACUCCUAUAAAAAACCCCUUC